rnacentral:rRNA from 1 species
GUUUGAUCUCAAAUCAGGUAGGGCUACCCGCUGAACUUAA